UAUUGCUCAAUGGGCGCAAGCCUGAUGCAGCCAUGCCGCGUGUAUGAAGAAGGCCUUCGGGUUGUAAAGUACUUUCAGCGGGGAGGAAGGGAGUGAGGUUAAUAACCUCAUUCAUUGACGUUACCCGCAGAAGAAGCACCGGCUAACUCCGUGCCAGCAGCCGCGGUAAUACGGAGGGUGCAAGCGUUAAUCGGAAUUACUGGGCGUAAAGCGCACGCAGGCGGUCUGUCGAGUCGGAUGUGAAAUCCCCGGGCUCAACCUGGGAACUGCAUUCGAAACUGGCAGGCUGGAGUCUUGUAGAGGGGGGUAGAAGUCCAGGUGUAGCGGUGAGAUGCGUAGAGAACUGGAGGAAUACCGGUGGCGAAGGCGGCCCCCUGGACAAAGACUGACGCUCAGGUGCGAAAGCGUGGGGAGCAAACAGG
rnacentral:rRNA from 1 species